CUUCUUUCCCUCAAUUCAUAUCCUUCCAAAAUUAUGUAAUAUCUUCCCCUAUCCCACUAAAAAUUUAUUUAAUCCUAUAAUUUCACUUCUAUGUUGACAUUCUCUCAUUAGCUUCUCUAUGAAACUUACACUUUACUCAUUCUCAUAUUAUAAUGCUUCCUAUUGAGUUCUCCUUCUUAGUUUUGUAUCACCCUUGUUGUUCAUUUGUGUUGCAAUGUCUUCUUCUCCUUCAGUGCCCAAUCAGUGCCCAAGUAACCAGACUAUGGGAGUCCCAGAGCCUCAUGCUUUUAUUCCUUGGACUGUGUGUGUGAGGCCGUUGUUUGCUCUUUUUCUAACUUCCUGUAUAACUUGCCAUAUUUUUUUUCUAUGAAGCGAGGACCAAUAAUUUGACAAGAUUGCUAUAGCCCACCUUGACAUUCGACAAAGUUUUGGUAAGGGGAACUUCCUAAUGUUGACUAAACCCUAACCCUAUUUUCAACGUCACCCUCAACCUGUUUUUUUAUUACAAGUUUCUUACUUCAGAGGUAUUGUGACUCGUACAAUUGAAUAUGUAAAAGAAACUCGAUGCUUGUUGGAAGAGUGCUCACAAUCAUAACGAUUCAGUUAUCAUGUAUUGCAAGAUGAUUCAGAAAUAUGGUUAAGAAUAACCACAAAAGUUGACCAUUUGAGCAGAGGCUGGAUUUGAUUGUGCUAUGAUAGUCAUACAAUCUUAAAAAACCUAAGCUGACUCUAAAGCAGACUGGAAGGCUCAACGUAAAUCGUCAUGGCUGAUACCAGAGUUGCAUCAUGAAAGUCUGCAAGAAGGUUGUUGCAACGAGAAAAAAUUCAAGCACAUUCAUUUGUUUUCCAGGUUUUUGGAGCACAUCAAGCAUCUUGAGAGAUGGCGGCCCGUCAGCACGUCACUUCACAUUCGAAUUUUCGUCGAGCCUAUCAAAUCCUACAAAUUUAUCUUAUGCGACAAUCAUUCCCAACUUGUGAAAUCCUCGCACCUUUUUGCACUGCGAGACACUGCAUUCACCAGGUGUUGAAUUCAAUCUGAAGAGAAUUCUGGAAGUAGCACGUCGCAAAUUUACAAUUUCAAUCAGACUUUGGGUCGAAUAAUACAAACUGUGACCUAACAGAGAGACUGUAAGACACC
rnacentral:lncRNA from 1 species